GAUGAACGCUGGCGGCGUGCUUAACACAUGCAAGUCGAACGAUGAAGCCCAGCUUGCUGGGUGGAUUAGUGGCGAACGGGUGAGUAACACGUGAGUAACCUGCCCUUGACUCUGGGAUAAGCCUGGGAAACUGGGUCUAAUACUGGAUAUGACUUCUCAUCGCAUGGUGGGGGGUGGAAAGAUUUAUUGGUCUUGGAUGGACUCGCGGCCUAUCAGCUUGUUGGUGAGGUAAUGGCUCACCAAGGCGACGGCGGGUAGCCGGCCUGAUAGGGUGACCGGCCACACUGGGACUGAGACACGGCCCAGACUGCUACGGGAGACAGCAGUGGGGAGUAUUGCACAAUGGGCACAAGCCUGAUGCAGCGACGCCGCGUGAGGGAUGACGGCCUUCGGGUUGUAAACCUCUUUCAGUAAAGAAGAAGCGAGAGUGACGGUACCUGCAGAAGAAGCGCCGGCUAACUACGUG
rnacentral:rRNA from 1 species